AAUGAACGCUAGCGGCAGGCUUAAUACAUGCAAGUCGAGGGACAGCACAGGUAGCAAUACUGGGUGGUAACCGGCAAACGGGUGCGGAACACGUACACAACCUUCCUUUAAGUGGGGGAUAGCCCAGAGAAAUUUGGAUUAAUACCCCGUAAUAUAGUUGAAUGGCAUCAUUUGAUUAUUAUAGCUACGGCGCUUAAUGAUGGGUGUGCGGCUGAUUAGAUAGUUGGCGGGGUAACGGCCCACCAAGUCUACGAUCAGUAGCUGAUGUGAGAGCAGGAUAAGCCACACGGGAACUGAGACACGGUCCCGACUCCUACGGGAGGCAGCAGUAAGGAAUAUUGGUCAAUGGACGCAAGUCUGAACCAGCCAUGCCGCGUGAAGGAUUAAGGUCCUCUGGAUUGUAAACUUCUUUUAUUUGGGACGAAAAAGGGCCUUUCUAGGUCAACUGACGGUACCAGAUGAAUAAGCACCGGCUAACUCCGUGCCAGCCGCCGCAGUAAUAC
rnacentral:rRNA from 1 species